GGGGGUUGCGUUUUAUAAAAUUUAUUUACCAAAAGGUUGCAUUUUCAAAAUCUUGGGUUAGAACUUGCAAGUCAUGGUUUUAUAACCACGGCUAUCCUGACACACGGCCAAACCUAUGUCUAUCUAGUCCUAAGGAAAUAAUGGACUAUGUACUGGGUCGCUAAUAAUAACCAUCAGAGGCAUCCAAUCCAGCAUUCAUGAAUGACAUAAACAUGCUUGAUAGAAGGUGACAAGGUAGCAAGUUGUUGACAAAAAUCACGACUUUGUACGGAGUUCUGCCAAUUAAAUUCUGAGCUCUCCUACACAGCCAACAGAAACAAAAUUGAGCUCUCUCUGCUACUUCCCAAUCGUUCCUCAAUAGAGUUGGAAAUUUUGGGAGCUGCGAAUUUAAUUGGGAGAAUUGAAUACAACGACUUCCAAUCUCAUGGUAGGUUGUGAGCCUUUGAUGGUCUUUAUUUUGAAUCGGGACCAAGUCUCUAGUUGCUUCUUUCCUAAGACUGGGCAUAAUUGAGUACCUAGUCAUUUGCAAAGAUUAUGUGCUCAAUGGUCGUGUGUCAGGAUAGUCAUGGUAACCCACACUUGCAAGUCACGUUUCUAAUCCAUGAUUUUGAGUUUGAAAAUUUAAAUUCACACCUCUUUUGUAAAUAAGUUUUGAACCUCCCUUUUGGUAAUAAGUUUUUAAAAAUCAACCUUUUGGGAAAAAGCUCCUUUUCUCUUUAUGUGCCCUUUGGAUUUUUUUAAUGGCAGUUGUCUAACCAAUGGGAUUUGAUUGUCAUCUGAAAUAGAGCAAUCAUAUUGUGGCUCUAA
rnacentral:misc_RNA from 1 species